ensembl:lncRNA
CAUCAUGGCUCAGUAGUAACAAACCCAACUAGUAUCCAUGAGGACUUGGGUUCAAUCCCUGGCCUCGCUCAGUGGGUUAAGGAUCCAGCGUUGCUGUGAGCUGCAGUGUAGGUCACAGACUCGGCUCGGAUCUGGUGUGGCUGUGGCUGUGGUGUAGGUUGGGGGCUGCAGCUCUGAUUGGACCCCUAGCCUGGGGUCCAUGAGUGUGGCCUUAAAAAGACCAAAAAAAAAAAAAGUUCCUUUCAUUUUCUCCUCCUUAAAAAAUUGAUUUCAUGCACACAUCUUCCUUUUGCGUCUGCUAUUAUUACAAAAGGGAAUCCUCAGCAUCUAUUCCUUGGUAACAUGGUUGACUUUGUAAAAUGGAAUUUUGUUUGUUAAUAUUGUUACUUGUUUUUAUAGGGCUUGUUUUUCUUGGAACAUGCCGUAAAACCAAAAUAUUUUGAAUGUUACUCACUGACAGAGAGCAGUGGGAGUCAAGAGUUUGCAUAAUAACUUUAACCAGAUUGCUAAUACUAAAGCUCAAUAAAAUAUUUUUUGUUUAUAAUCAUUGCCAUUUAAAAGUAUUUUUUAAAAGCCGUUCCAUACAUAGAGACAAAAACAUGUACAAGUUAUACUAACACAGUGCAGUGGUGUCCUAUGGUAUUUGAGGAAACACAGAGAAAGAUCAAGCAGUUUUUAUUUCUUGAUAGCUUAAUUAUUACUGUACCGUAUUCGAGUAAAUUUUGUGAUUGUAGGGUGGAAAUGCACACAGUCGUCCUUUUUUUAAUUUAUGAUUGGUAUCAUUCAGUAAUAUCCAUUGUUUUUAAAAGAAGGAAAAAAUCACAUUGGGAGGAUUUUUUUUCUUUUACUUCAUAUAAAAUAUUCUCUAAAUAAGUCUUUUUUCUAUUAGAAAAAAAUACAAGUCACUUAGAUAAAUCUCCACUUAAAAGAUAAUAUUUUUCUGUUUGUGGUGCAUCGAUCAAUGAACCUGACUAGAUCCAUGAGGAUGCGGGUUCGAUCCCUGGCCUCACUUAGUGGAUUAAGGAUCCAGCAUUGCCAUGAGCUUGGUGUAGGUCACAGACGUGGCUCGGAUCCCAAAUUGCUGUGGCUGCUAGGGGUCCAAUCUGAGCUGCAGCUGCUGACAUAUACCACAGCCACAUCGAAGAAGGAUCCGAGCCGCAUCUUUGACCUACACCACAGCUCACAGCAAUGCCAGAUCUGUAACCUACUGAGCCAGGCCAGGGAUCAAACCCACAACCUCAUGGUUACUAGACAGGUUUGUUAACUGCUGAGCCAUAACAAGAACUCCAUCCUUUCUGGUUUUUAACUCCUCUUCCUAAAGAUUUUUCUAAUGUGUUUUUGGUUGAUACUUGACCAGGCUCAUCUUCCUGAGUGGUUAUUUCAGUGUUGUCAUUGCUUCCGUUGGCGAAGUCUGCAUGUCACUGGAGCAGAUUCUCUAAAGAACUGAUUAUUUUUAGUGCAAGAAAGUAAUAAAUUUGGCAAUCAAUGAUUGAAACAGAAAAAUCAGCUUUUAUGGGAGUUCCCAUCGUGGCACAGUGGUUAACGAAUCCUACUAGGAACCAUGAGGUUGCGGGUUGGACCCCUGGCCUCGCUCAGUGGGUUAAGGAUCCAGCAUUGCCGUGAGCUGUCGUGUAGGUCGCAGACGCGGCUUGGAUCCCAAGUUGCUGUGGCUCUGGCGUAGGCUGGCAGCUACAGCUCUGAUUAGACUCCUAGCCUGGGAACCUCCAUAUGCCGCAGAAGUGGCCCUAGAAAAGGCAAAAAAAAGAAAAAGAAAAA